rnacentral:lncRNA from 1 species
ACCGACAUUUGAAGCGAAUGGUGUGGAGGCUGCUUAACUUUUACGCCCACCCGAGUGGAGUCCUGUAGACUCCGCAGUUCAGAAUCCAUAUGUGAUAGUCUGGGACCAGACAAAAGGAUGAAUACACAAGACUGAAGAAAUGAUUAAUGAAAGGUACACAUGAUUGAGAGAAGGCGGCUGAUUUGGUCAUCUGGAGUUGGAACUCGCUCAACAAACAUUGCAUCUCGCAGAGUAUCAACUUCUUGCAACUCUGCGCAUGUCGUUCAUUGCAAUUUGAAAGUUUGCACUAGUGAUUCGUCCUUCACUCCUUCCAUCCUUUCCAGCUCCAAUUUGAAUUCUCGAGUACACAACGCAAGUACUGUACUACGCAACAUCAUCCAUUGGGUGACUGACUUCCCCUACUUCAUUCAAUUCAAGCAAUUCAACGCGUACGAAACAAGGCCUUCAUUGCAGUGGCCGUAAAGCUCUGACCUGUGAGCCCCCCCGUCUUCCAUUGGCACCACCACCACACCUGGGAGCUGGAGCUGGUCCUGCCCAUAUCCAUGGCAUGCGUGCGGUCAAAUGCUGCCGGCAAACAAAGCCGCAAAUGGCUACGGGACAAGGCACCCGUCCGCCCAUCACUCAGUUCAUUCAUUUGCUCCCAACCACGGCAAAGUACAUGUACAGAUGACGGGCAAGGAAGCAAUGGAAGAAGAAAGCAAGCAAGGAAUCAAGAAUCCGAUCGAGCUCCACCGGUGGUGGUGGUGGUGACAGCGGCGGAACCAAAGGUUUCCUCUCUCAUCAUCACUAGUAAAAUUUGUGUAUCGCAGUGUGGGUGGGGGAGAAUGCGGAUGAGUAGCUGGCUGGCAGCCUGCCUGGCGCACCUAACCGAACCGGUCGUUGUGCCUGCUACGGCGACUCGUAGGCGGCGGCGUAGUCGGUGCCGGCGCCAGCGCCGGCGGGGAGGACGUCGGCGUGCGGGUUGCAGUCGGCGGAGAAGAAGUCGUUCUGCUCGAGGAGGGACCGGACGCCGGCGUCCUCCUUGCCGUUGGCGCUCGGGUUGGGCUCCAGCGAGCAGUCCCCGCCCGGGCACAUGCAGCACCACGCCGGCGGCGCUGCCGUGCCGGUGCCCGCGCCCGGAGUGGAACCAUCGUCGCCGGCGGCAGCAGCAUCUCGAUCGGCCGCCGCCGCGGUCUCCCGCCGGCUCCACCUCCUCCCGGUCCCGGCCCUCCGCCCGCCGGAGGCGCCGGCCUCCUGAACCACCGAGCCGCCGCCGCCCCAGCAGGAGGGCAGCCCGCCCCGGAUCGCCCUGGCCACCGCCUCGCGCCUCCCCUGCUGCUUCUUCUUGCGCCGCGCCUGCUUCUGCUGCCCUCGUCCAAGCACCUCCCCUUCCUCCUCCUCGGGUCCUCUGCCGGACGACGAAGAAGAAGACGCGGCGGCCGCGCCGGGAGAGGCGGCCGACGGGCCGGGCUGCCUCCGCCGCCGGAGCGCGUCUCCACCUCCACCCCCGCCCGCACCAUUGGGCCGGCUCUCCCCGCCCGCAUACAUGCAACCGCCAGGAAACCGUCGGUGCGCGCGGCCGCCACCGACGACGGCUCCCUCCCCACCCGCCCUUGCCGCGGUGGAUCAAUCAAUCGAUCGAUCGAUCAAUCAAUCGGCCGAGCAACAACCGCGGCUCGCUGGUGGCGCCGGCGAUGGAAGCGCCGCUGGUUGCGAUUGACGGCGCGGGUGGUUUUGGUGGGGAUUGGAGGCGGAGGGUGGGGACGGAGGCGGAGGCGAUUGGCGAGAAGAGCAACGCCAACGCACCAAAUCCGAUUGCGCUAUUAUUGGGCGGAGCGGAGCGCAGGCUUUGCAGUUGCUCACGCCUUGGCACGGCGGCAGCUUCGCUUUCGCUGUCGCUCGCAUCGCAAGCGUGCAGGGCGCGGGCGGAGGAGGAAACCACUCGAUUUGCCUCGCCAAGAAUGGUGCGGCUGCGAAAAAGGUAAUGGAGGAAGGUAUAUGCAACAGGACUACAGGAGACAAAACAAAAACGUAAUCUGGCGGCCGAUUUCAUUAAUUUAAUCUUUUUUUUUUUGCGAUGGAUUUCAUUAAUUCAAUCGUGCUGGUGAUCUGGCGAGGUUCCAGUUGGAUUUGCGCUUGCGGUGUCUAAUACGCGGACGACGCGACACGUUCCUAGUUGUGAUCGACGUGACAUUGGAACGUGAGGUCUGGCAGGCUUCGCUGUAGUGUUUUUUUAAAUGACUGCCAAGUGUAGUGUAGUGUCUGCUCUUGGUUCUCGGGUGUGGAUGGGAUUCACAGCCAACGGUCUAAAAGUUAAAGCUUUUUCUUUUCUCGUGGUAAACAAAGAAGAGAUGCUCCACUUCAUAUUUUCAUGGUUGCGGCGGUCGUUUGGCAGCCUUGACUUUGCCAAGUGUUUUUGGCUACUUGGUCUUGUUUAGUUGACGAAGAGAAAAAUUUUGCGAUACUAUAGUACUUUUAUUUAUUUAUGGUAAUUAUUGUCCAACCAUAGACUAACUAGGCUCAAAAGAUUCGUCUCGUACAUUUCGACCAAACUGUGCAAUUAGUUUUUAUUUCCGUCUAUAUUUAAUACUCAAACCAUGGACUAACUAGGAAUCUUGAAAAAUUUUGGGUUUUGAAGUGAAAGUAAACAAGGCCCAUUAGAUUAACCAUGAUUUUUGCAAGCACAUACGAUUAUAUUGCAUGAAGAACCCUGUAUUUAUCCCCAUGAUGAAGUAUAUUAUCCUUGUUCACUUCAUACCCCUGAGCUUUGAUUUUUAUUUUCUUGAAGCCAGAUCAUUGUUUGCCUUUACUCCAUUCAUCUUAAAAAAACAUUUUUUUGUCAAAUAAUUCAUCCCAAAAAACUGUGCAUCUCGCUUUUUAAAGAUUCUUUUUCUCUAAAUAUCACUAAUUUUAUAGAAAAAAAUAUCAACAUUAUAUCUCAAAAUGAGUUUAUUAUGAAAAUGUAUGCCACUACUAAUCUAUCGAUUAUUAUUAUAUAUCAAUCAAACUUUUUUUUACUCCUUAUCUCUAAGCUAGAUGAGAGAAAAAAUAAUAAGCGUACCAAACAAUCUAGCAACUAACUGAACACGAUCCUUAAGAACCCCAAAUUUAUUUGCUAGGUCAGCCUAAGUAGAGAGGAAUAAAAAGAUUGUAGAUAAAUUGAGAAUGACAGAUGGGUGCAGCAUAAUAAACUAUUCACAUUGUGCUUGGUUUGUAGCCAAAGAAGAGAAGAUGUUCAAUGUAGGUAGCUGUGCUUGUCAUGUCUUUUUAUGUUGGUCUUGUACGUGUUAUUUAUUUCUGUACUCGCGAUCCCUUGACUCAACCUUCAAUUAUUUGUUGUAGGGAAAGAGAGAUGACACAAAGCGAUAGCGACAAAAGGCCAUGACGGAGAUUUACAUACCAUAAUGUAAUAUGCAUCAAAUGAACCAUGGUUUGUCCUGAUCGGAAAAAUCAUCAAUUAAUCCUUAACUUAGCAUACAAUACAUAUCGUAAUUGGUGAGUUACCAAACG